GACGAACGCUGGCGGCGUGCUUAACACAUGCCAGUCGUACGGUAAGGCCCUUUCGGGGGUACACGAGUGGCGCACGGGUGAGUAACACGUGAGUAACCUGCCCACAACUUUGGGAUAACGCUAGGAAACUGGUGCUAAUACUGGAUAUGUGCCCCUGCUGCAUGGUGGGGGUUGGAAAGCUCCGGCGGUUGUGGAUGGACUCGCGGCCUAUCAGCUUGUUGGUGGGGUAGUGGCCUACCAAGGCGGCGACGGGUAGCCGGCCUGAGAGGGUGACCGGCCACAUUGGGACUGAGAUACGGCCCAGACGCCUACGGGAGGCAGCAGUGGGGAAUAUUGCACAAUGGGCGCAAGCCUGAUGCAGCAACGCCGCGUGCAGGAUGACGGCCUUCGGGUUGUAAACCGCUUUCAGCAGGGACGAAGCUUUUUGUGACGGUACCUGCAGAAGAAGCACCGGCUAACUACGUG
rnacentral:rRNA from 1 species